AUCCCAGCCAAACAUUGUAUGUUUGUCUGAUUCAUGGGAGGCAAAAAAUGAUGUUGGAAGUUUCGCUGAUAGCAUCAUUUCAUUUACUGGGGAUGCUUCAUAGUAGCUCACCAUACAUCU